rnacentral:rRNA from 1 species
GCCGCGUGAUGAGAGGCCUUCUGUAUGUAAAGCUCUAUCUGAGGGAAGAAAAUGACGGUACCUGACUAAGAAGCCCCGGCUAACUACCUGCCAGCCGCCCCGGUAAUCGUGCCAGCCGCCGCGGUAAU